rnacentral:lncRNA from 1 species
UCAGUGACACUUCAGCUGGAUAGAGCGUUCCAUUGUAGCUCCAUUGCUCUGGAACGGAAAGCAGAAGAGAAGUCUGUUCAUUCCUGUGCAGAUAGCUUCUUAUUCUCCAGAUUUCCUCAGCCCAGCCAGAAGAACCUAGAGAGGGCAGAGGAACUGUCUUCCUCCCUCACAGUUUGGCAACUUGGAUGGGAUAAAAUUUCACUGGCUGGACACUACUCGCUCCUGGACUGCUGCAGCUGAGAGAUCAUGGAACCCUGACAAGAGCCAGCUGGAGGUUCCUGAAAUGCAAAUAACUCGACAUUAACAAAGAACAAGAAAUCCUGGCCCCGAAAUUAUCUGGUGAAAUUGCCUGCCCCUAGGAGUGCAGGGCAUCGAGGGGAAACAACAGGAAGUGGAGCAGCAGCAUCUGACCUCUCCAUCACCGCCCUAAAACCACAAUAAAGGCUCUUGCCUGUGUUUCCACCUCCUCCUGACUGGCCCUGGUGCUUCCCCGUGUGGCCCCCUGUGGUGUGUCGUGCCCCCCUCCUCUUGGGAACUGAUAUGGUAAAGGAUACAGAUGAACAGCUAGAUGAAGAGAUACAUACGGCGAGGCCUGGGAGGGUCCCAAGCACAGGAUCUUCUGUCCCCGCAGAGUUGAGGAGGCUCCCCAGGCACCAGGCAAAAUCUAAUGUGUCCUGACAGCUUGUCCAUCGCUCACAGACUGAAGCCAGCAUCAGCUGAGAGUUCUGGAUCUAGGAAAAGAAAUCUGAGAAUACCUGUCACAAAGAAAGAUGGACAGAAGGUUUCUCAAAUGCAAUUAAGUGUUUUGACAGGCAAUUAUUUUCUCAUCAAGCUGACCUAAAUGUUCAGAGUUUGGCAGUUGGGUUGCAGGUAAACACUCUUGCUCUUAUCAGUGAAAUGCCUCUCUGAUACCUGGGAACUCCCACCUCUGGGGCCCAGAGAUUAGACAUGGAGUCUGGGAGUCUUGCCAAGCAGGAUGGCUGCAGCCUGAGCCCAGUGGAGCCACCCCCUUUGCCAAGUGGCCUUGCAAUUGAAGUAGGUUUUCAAAAUGUGUGAUUGAGACCCUGGGGUUUUAAGAGUGGAUGUGAAUGUUGAAAGAGGGGAGAAAUAAUAAGAACAGAGAUCUUGAUCCAGUUACCAUUAUCCAUGUUUUAUUUUAAGA